GACGAACGCUGGCGGCGUGCUUAACACAUGCAAGUCGAACGGAAAGGCCCUGCUUUUGUGGGGUGCUCGAGUGGCGAACGGGUGAGUAACACGUGAGUAACCUGCCCUUGACUUUGGGAUAACUUCAGGAAACUGGGGCUAAUACCGGAUAGGAGCUCCUGCUGCAUGGUGGGGGUUGGAAAGUUUCGGCGGUUGGGGAUGGACUCGCGGCUUAUCAGCUUGUUGGUGGGGUAGGGGCUUACCAAGGCUUUGACGGGUAGCCGGCCUGAGAGGGUGACCGGCCACAAUGGGACUGAGAUACGGCCCAGACUCCUACGGGAGGCAGCAGUGGGGAAUAUUGCACAGUGGGCGGAAGCCUGAUGCAGAGACGCCGCGUGCGGGAUGACGGCCUUCGGGUUGUAAACCGCUUUCGCCUGUGACGAAGCGUGAGUGACGGUAAUGGGUAAAGAAGCACCGGCUAACUACGUG
rnacentral:rRNA from 1 species